AACGAACGCUGGCGGCAUGCCUAACACAUGCAAGUCGAACGAGACCUUCGGGUCUAGUGGCGCACGGGUGCGUAACGCGUGGGAACCUGCCCUUAGGUUCGGAAUAACUCCCCGAAAGGGGUGCUAAUACCGGAUAAUGUCUUCGGACCAAAGAUUUAUCGCCUUUGGAUGGGCCCGCGUUGGAUUAGCUAGUUGGUAGGGUAAAAGCCUACCAAGGCGACGAUCCAUAGCUGGUCUGAGAGGAUGAUCAGCCACACUGGGACUGAGACACGGCCCAGACUCCUACGGGAGGAAGCAGUGGGGAAUAUUGGACAAGGGGCGAAAGCCUGAUCCAGAAAUGCCGAGUGAGUGAUGAAGGCCUUAGGGUUGUAAAGCUCUUUUACCCGGGAUGAUAAUGACAGUACCGGGAGAAUAAGCUCCGGCUAACUCCGUG
rnacentral:rRNA from 1 species